GAUGAAGAACGCAGCAAAAUGGGAUAAGUAAUGUGAAUUGCAGAAUUCAGUGAAUCAUCGAAUCUUUGAACGCACAUUGCGCCCGCUGGUAUUCCGGCGGGCAUGCCUGUUCGAGCGUCAUUUCAACCCUCAAGCCCCCGGGUUUGGUGUUGGGGAUCGGCUCUGCCCUUCUGGGCGGUGCCGCCCCCGAAAUACAUUGGCGGUCUCGCUGCAGCCUCCAUUGCGUAGUAGCUAACACCUCGCAACUGGAACGCGGCGCGGCCAUGCCGUAAAACCCCAACUUCUGAAUGUUGACCUCGGAUCAGGAAGGAAUACCCGCUGAACUUAAGCAUAUCAAUAAGCGGAGGA
rnacentral:misc_RNA from 1 species